rnacentral:rRNA from 1 species
GGCCUAACACAUGCAAGUCGAGCGGAAACGAGUUAUCUGAACCUUCGGGGAACGAUAACGGCGUCGAGCGGCGGACGGGUGAGUAAUGCCUAGGAAAUUGCCUUGAUGUGGGGGAUAACCAUUGGAAACGAUGGCUAAUACCGCAUAACGCCUACGGGCCAAAGAGGGGGACCUUCGGGCCUCUCGCGUCAAGAUAUGCCUAGGUGGGAUUAGCUAGUUGGUGAGGUAAUGGCUCACCAAGGCGACGAUCCCUAGCUGGUCUGAGAGGAUGAUCAGCCACACUGGAACUGAGACACGGUCCAGACUCCUACGGGAGGCAGCAGUGGGGAAUAUUGCACAAUGGGCGCAAGCCUGAUGCAGCCAUGCCGCGUGUAUGAAGAAGGCCUUCGGGUUGUAAAGUACUUUCAGCAGUGAGGAAGGGGGUGUCGUUAAUAGCGGCAUCUCUUGACGUUAGCUGCAGAAGAAGCACCGGCUAACUCCGUGCCAGCAGCCGCGGUAAUACGGAGGGUGCGAGCGUUAAUCGGAAUUACUGGGCGUAAAGCGCAUGCAGGUGGUUUGUUAAGUCAGAUGUGAAAGCCCGGGGCUCAACCUCGGAACUGCAUUUGAAACUGGCAAACUAGAGUACUGUAGAGGGGGGUAGAAUUUCAGGUGUAGCGGUGAAAUGCGUAGAGAUCUGAAGAUACAGUGCGAGCGCCCUG